CUCACGGUCAUUAUUCAGGGAGCUUGGGGCUGGGAGAAAAAACUCAGAUUUUACAGAUGAAUGCUAUAGUCCCAGGGAGUGAGAUAGAAGACUGCUGUGAAACUCAAGAGUUUGAGGAAAGGGGCAAGAUGGACUUGGUGAACAUUUCUCACCCAUCAUCAUUAGAGACCUAUUUUAUAUCCCACGACUCAAAAAGCUGGACCUUAGGUCUCCCUUCCUCUGCUAACAACAAAGAACUCACGUUGAAUUCCUCUCUGAAGAGCUUAUUGUCAUCAGCCAUUCUCCGGUUAAUCUCCUCUUCCAGCUUGUCCACAGGCAGUGGUGGGAACUUCCUGUUGGUGCUCGGGGACCUGGCCAGAAGUGGUACACUUUGGGGCUCUGCAGUGUACAAAAGGGAAGGUCAGUUAGGGGCCCUGGAGAUGGAUGCAGUCCCUUUUGUGAAGACUGAUGGUCUUAUUGUUUUGAAAAGAUGAGGAAAAGAGGCAGAAGAUAUGGCUGUCAGUAAAAGGUGUUUGUCACUAAGUGUGGCAGCCUCAACUGGAUUCCCAGAAUCUACAUGAUAGAAGGAGAGGACCAACUUUUGCAAGUUAGCCUCUGAUCUCCACGAGCAUGCCAUGGCACAUGUGUGUGUGUGCACAAAUUAAAUAAACAAUGGAAAGAUAAAUGUAAAAGGAUGGGGAAAUGUUCAUCUCCUGAUGUUCUUCUCCAGAUGUUCCCCAUGUCUUACCCACAUCCUCUGUGCGGCCAUUUGACAGGCGGAAAGAAUUGGAAUGGCUCCCAGCUUGCUUGUAUUUCUUAAACCUAAUGAGAACAUAUUUGUGAUGAAAAACUAGACACAGGUAAAUCACUCCUUGUAUUCUUGCUAACGACUCUGUCUUUUUUUUUUGGUUCUUUUUUUCGGAGCUGGGGACCGAACCCAGGGCCUUGCGCUUCCUAGGUAAGCACUCUACCACUGAGCUAAAUCCCCAG